rnacentral:piRNA from 1 species
UGCCUUUUGGUACCUUCUAUGGCAGG